AACGAACGCUGGCGGCAUGCCUAACACAUGCAAGUCGAACGAGACCUCCGGGUCUAGUGGCGCACGGGUGCGUAACGCGUGGGAACCUGCCCUUAGGUGCGGAAUAACUCCCCGAAAGGGGUGCUAAUACCGGAUAAUGUCUUCGGACCAAAGAUUUAUCGCCUUUGGAUGGGCCCGCGUUGGAUUAGCUAGUUGGUAGGGUAAAAGCCUACCAAGGCGACGAUCCAUAGCUGGUCUGAGAGGAUGAUCAGCCACACUGGGACUGAGACACGGCCCAGACUCCUACGGGAGGCAGCAGCGGGGAAUAUUGGACAAUGGGCGAAAUCCUGAUCCAGCAAUGCCGCGUGAGUGAUGAAGGCCUUAGGGUUGUAAAGCUCUUUUACCCGGGAUGAUAAUGACAGUACCGGGAGAAUAAGCUCCGGCUAACUCCGUG
rnacentral:rRNA from 1 species